UAAGCGGAGGAAAAGAAACUAACAAGGAUUCCCCUAGUAACGGCGAGUGAAGCGGGAAGAGCUCAAAUUUUAAAUCUGGCGGUCUCAGGCCGUCCGAGUUGUAAAUUAGAGAAGUGCUAUCUGUGCUGGACCUGUCAUAAGUCACCUUGAAUGGUGCAUCAGAGAGGGUGAUAAUCCCGUACUUUGUCAGGACCCCCAGUGCUCUAUGUUGCGCUCUCGACGAGUCGAGUUGUUUGGGAAUGCAGCUCUAAAUGGGAGGUAUACUCCUUCUAAAGCUAAAUACAUUGGAAUGACCGAUAGCGAACAAGUACCGUGAGGGAAAGAUGAAAAGAACUUUGGAAAGAGAGUUAAACAGUACGUGAAAUUGCUGGUGGGGAAACGCUUGAAGUCAGUCUCGUCCUCUGGGAUUCAGCCUCGCUUUUGCAAGGUGUACUUCCUGGUUGACGGGCCAGCGUUCAUUUUGACCGUUGUAAAAAGGCGAAGGGAACGUGGCAGUUUACUGUGUUAUAGCCCUUUGUCGCAUGCUUCGGUUGGGAUGGAUCUUACAGCACGUUCUGUGGUGCUUUUGCUGGCGUAAUGGCUUUAAACGACCCGUCUUGAAACACGGACCAAGGAGUCUAUCUUACCUGCGAGUCUUUGGGUGGAAAACCCAAGGGCGGAAUGAAAGUGAUGGUUGAGAAUCCCUCGUGGAGGCAUCAACGCCCGCCGCAGAAGUUUACGGACGCUGGCGAGGCAGAGCAUGUAGGAUGGGACCCGAAAGAUGGUGAACUAUGCCUGCAUAGGGUGAAGCCAGGGGAAACUCUGGUGGAGGCUCGUAGCGAUUCUGACGUGCAAAUCGAUCGUCAAAUGUGGGUAUAGGGGCGAAAGACUAAUCGAACCAUCUAA
rnacentral:rRNA from 1 species